rnacentral:rRNA from 1 species
AACGAACGCUGGCGGUAUGCCUAACACAUGCAAGUCGAACGAGAGCUUCGUGUCUAGUUGCGCUUACGUGCGUCAAGUGGCGGAACCUGCCGUUAGACAUCGGAAAACACUCUGUCGGGGGUGCUAAUACCGGGUAAUGUCCUCGGAUAACAGAUUCAUCGUCCUUGGAGGGGCCCGCGUUGGAUUAGCCAGUGGGUAGGGUAAAAGCCUACCAAGGAGACGAUCCAUAGCUGGGUUGAGAGGAUGAUCAGCCACACUGGGACUGAGACACGGCCCAGACUCCUACGGGAGGCAGCAGUGGGGAAUAUUGGACUAUGGGCGAAAGCCUGAUCCAGCAAUGCCGCGUGAGUGAUGAAGGCCUUAGGGUUGUAAAGCUCUUUUACCCGGGAUGAUAAUGACAGUACCGGGAGAAUAAGCUCCGGCUAACUCCGUG